rnacentral:rRNA from 1 species
UGCUAAUCUGCGAUAAGCGUCGGUAAGGUGAUAUGAACCGUUAUAACCGGCGAUUUCCGAAUGGGGAAACCCAGUGUGUUUCGACACACUAUCAUUAACUGAAUCCAUAGGUUAAUGAGGCGAACCGGGGGAACUGAAACAUCUAAGUACCCCGAGGAAAAGAAAUCAACCGAGAUUCCCCCAGUAGCGGCGAGCGAACGGGGAGCAGCCCAGAGCCUGAAUCAGUGUGUGUGUUAGUGGAAGCGUCUGGAAAGGCGCGCGAUACAGGGUGACAGCCCCGUACACAAAAAUGCACAUGCUGUGAGCUCGAUGAGUAGGGCGGGACACGUGGUAUCCUGUCUGAAUAUGGGGGGACCAUCCUCCAAGGCUAAAUACUCCUGACUGACCGAUAGUGAACCAGUACCGUGAGGGAAAGGCGAAAAGAACCCCGGCGAGGGGAGUGAAAAAGAACCUGAAACCGUGUACGUACAAGCAGUGGGAGCACGCUUAGGCGUGUGACUGCGUACCUUUUGUAUAAUGGGUCAGCGACUUAUAUUCUGUAGCAAGGUUAACCGAAUAGGGGAGCCGAAGGGAAACCGAGUCUUAACUGGGCGUUAAGUUGCAGGGUAUAGACCCGAAACCCGGUGAUCUAGCCAUGGGCAGGUUGAAGGUUGGGUAACACUAACUGGAGGACCGAACCGACUAAUGUUGAAAAAUUAGCGGAUGACUUGUGGCUGGGGGUGAAAGGCCAAUCAAACCGGGAGAUAGCUGGUUCUCCCCGAAAGCUAUUUAGGUAGCGCCUCGUGAAUUCAUCUCCGGGGGUAGAGCACUGUUUCGGCAAGGGGGUCAUCCCGACUUACCAACCCGAUGCAAACUGCGAAUACCGGAGAAUGUUAUCACGGGAGACACACGGCGGGUGCUAACGUCCGUCGUGAAGAGGGAAACAACCCAGACCGCCAGCUAAGGUCCCAAAGUCAUGGUUAAGUGGGAAACGAUGUGGGAAGGCCCAGACAGCCAGGAUGUUGGCUUAGAAGCAGCCAUCAUUUAAAGAAAGCGUAAUAGCUCACUGGUCGAGUCGGCCUGCGCGGAAGAUGUAACGGGGCUAAACCAUGCACCGAAGCUGCGGCAGCGACGCUGAUGCGUUGUUGGGUAGGGGAGCGUUCUGUAAGCCUGCGAAGGUGUGCUGUGAGGCAUGCUGGAGGUAUCAGAAGUGCGAAUGCUGACAUAAGUAACGAUAAAGCGGGUGAAAAGCCCGCUCGCCGGAAGACCAAGGGUUCCUGUCCAACGUUAAUCGGGGCAGGGUGAGUCGACCCCUAAGGCGAGGCCGAAAGGCGUAGUCGAUGGGAAACAGGUUAAUAUUCCUGUACUUGGUGUUACUGCGAAGGGGGGACGGAGAAGGCUAUGUUGGCCGGGCGACGGUUGUCCCGGUUUAAGCGUGUAGGCUGGUUUUCCAGGCAAAUCCGGAAAAUCAAGGCUGAGGCGUGAUGACGAGGCACUACGGUGCUGAAGCAACAAAUGCCCUGCUUCCAGGAAAAGCCUCUAAGCAUCAGGUAACAUCAAAUCGUACCCCAAACCGACACAGGUGGUCAGGUAGAGAAUACCAAGGCGCUUGAGAGAACUCGGGUGAAGGAACUAGGCAAAAUGGUGCCGUAACUUCGGGAGAAGGCACGCUGAUAUGUAGGUGAAGUCCCUUGCGGAUGGAGCUGAAAUCAGUCGAAGAUACCAGCUGGCUGCAACUGUUUAUUAAAAACACAGCACUGUGCAAACACGAAAGUGGACGUAUACGGUGUGACGCCUGCCCGGUGCCGGA